GCAUUGUGUAAGUGAUUGUGUAUUGUUUAAAAGUGAUCAUUCAAUCAUAAAUGCAGAAUUCGAAAUAGUUACAAAAUUUAUUAUAUAGAAUCACCUGAUAUUUAGAAAAAAAAAAAAUAACAUUGGAAGAAGAAUCGGAGAGCAAAUUUCUAUGCCCGACACAGAUCAACUUUUCCGUAAAGCAUUUCUUCCUACAGCAUUGGCGACAUAACUUGUGAUCACAUUUAAAACCCUUAAUGAAGAUUAUACAGAUAAAAUUACUAGGAAAAACUUAAAAUUUAAGACUCGACAUACUAACCACAGGAUUUGGGCAACCCUGACAAAGAGUAGUUGACCUAUACGGACGCAGCGUUAUUCGUCGUAAUUUUUUGAAAUGUUUAUGAGAUAUUUGAUUUCCUUCCUCAUCCUCGUAUUUUCUUUUCACAGAUACAUUUUUCUAUAAUGCAUUCAUGUAAAUAAUAUUUGAUUAUCAUCAAAAAAACAAAAAAUGUGAUAAAAAAGAUAAGCCAAUAAUGAAAAUUCUUAUGAAUGAGAAAA